rnacentral:rRNA from 1 species
UGAGGAAUAUUGGGCAAUGCCCGCAAGGGUGACCCAGCAACGCCGCGUGGAGGAUGAAAGCCGUAAGGUUGUAAACUCCUGUGAGAGGGGACGAAUGAUUACGUUUCGUAAGGAACGUGAAGUGACUGUACCCCCAGAGGAAGCCCCGGCUAACUACGUGCCAGCAGCCGCGGUAAUACGUAGGGGGCAAGCGUUGUCCGGAUUUACUGGGUGUAAAGGGCGCGUAGGCGGGUUGAUAAGUUAGAGGUGAAAUCCUGCGGCUUAACCGCAGAACUGCCCCUAAUACUGUCAAUCUUGAGUUCAGAAGAGAGAAGCGGGAUUCCAGGUGUAGUGGUGAAAUACGUAGAUAUCUGGAAGAACACCAGUUGCGAAGGCGGCUUCUUGGUCUGACACUGACGCUGAGGCGCGAAAGCGUGGGGAGCAAACAG